UUGGCCGGAAGUGGAGCUGUGAGGUCCGGGUGUUGCUGGUGGAGUGGCGGUGGCGCGGAAGCUCGCGGGAUCCAGGGUCUGGUGUUGCGGCGCCCGUGUUCACCAGGCUCAGGUGAGUGGCGGCGGCCGCGGAUGAGGACUCGGCGGCCGCUCCCUGUCCACCUGGGCCUUGGCCGCCUCUCCCGUCCUGGGCGGCGCAGGGCCGGGCGCUUCCGGGCCCGGGCUGCGGACUCCUCUCGCAGGCCCGUUUAGGCAGAAUGUCGGCGACCCCGCCACCCCAGAGUUCUGUGACCUUGGACAAUCGGUUCGUCUGAAUCUUGACUUUUCCUCUGUGAGACGGAGAUGAUCACUGCCUGCCUCACAGGGCUGUUGUGGGAAUCCAGUGAGGUGUUUUGCGGCACUUCGUUACCACACUUAACACGUGCACGCGACCCACUCAGGGAUCUGGAGAUGGGGUCUGUAGGUCUGGGGUAAGGUUCGAGAUUACGCAUUCCUGACCAGCUUCCAGGUGAGGCUGAUGCCGCUGGUCCGCAGGCCCCUACGGUAUUUUGCUUAGUACCCGGGUCAACUUGAGCCUUCAGUAGAUAUCAAUACAGUGUAUAUCCUGUCCCCGUUUUUAACAGACGGUUUCUAGUUGCACAUACCUAAGGUCGUUAUUGAUGUCUUCCUCCCUUUUCUCUCCAGAGGUAAGAAAAAUAAUUGCCCUUUCUCUUUCCGUACAAAUCAUGACACAGCUCUUCUGUCCUGACUCAGGGAGCUUUGGGCCCUCUUUAAACCAGUUAAACUUCCACUUCCUCAGGUCAUGCUUCAUUGCCUACUCACUGUAAACCCUUGGACAGUGAGUGCUUCUUCCUAUGGAGCUGGCAGCCAAGUGCUUUAGCACCAACGUGUCUGGUGUUCUGUGCUCUAGUCAUUUGUUGCAGCUGGAAUGUGAAUUCCUAUUUUCCGCACUUGGCUCACACUUGGUGAGUAGUAAGAAAGCUGCUUUUCCAGAACUAGAUUGUACAACUCACUGCUCUGAAUGGCCUCAGGCAAGCUCUGGCUUGAUUUCACUACUGCCUGGGAGACCAAAAUGAAAUAUGGAGACUCAGCGUUGCAUAAUGCAACAGAGAAGGUGAGGCCUUUGGGAGUUGUGCAGGUCUAGUUUAUUUGACGGUAUGGUUUUCUUCCCCAUCUGUUGCUUUAGCAAACCUUUAGCAGUUCCAUUCACAUGGGCUGAGAGGACCUGAGUGUCUGCUCUCUGUUGCUAUACCCAGAGAUUUUCUUUUCUUUUUUCUUUCUUUCUACCCAGAGAUUUUCUUUUUUCCUUCCUUCCUUCCUUCCUUCCUUCCUUCCUUCCUUCCUUCCCUCCCUCCCUCCCUCCCUCCCUCCCUCCCAGGGAGAGAGAGAGAAUCUCAAGCAGGCUCCAUGCCCAAUGCAGAGUCCAACACAUGGGGCUCAAUCUCACCACUGUGAGAUCAUGACCUGAGCUGACACCAGGAGUCAAACAUUUUACCAACUGAACCACCACCCAGGUGCCCCACGUACCCAGAGAUUUUCUAAAAACAGAGUGUGUGGAAUCCUUUAAGAGCAGCGGCUCUAACAGUCAUCUGUGGGGCCUUGUCAGACUGUAUCUACUCAGGCCCUUCUUGCCAUUCUGAUAGAGGAAUAGCAGAGUCUUAGAAGGGGAGGAAGGGCUAUAUAAACUAAAAAAAAAGUUUCACAGAUAAUUGUGGUGUGCUGUUUUCUCUGAUAAGAGUGGAAACCAGAAUGAAGUGAAGGAGAUGGGCUGUUAGAAUUGAAUUUGGUUUGGCUUAACUCUGGGUGAUACUUAUGUUGACCUAAACACCUUAGCACUGGUGUUUGACCUUUGUCGUGGCAGUAGUAGUAGAUCCCUGUCUUGUAGGCUCUGCUCCAGUGUGGAAACUGAAGCACAGAAGAGUCUAGCCCAGUUAGCAUUUGCAUUAACAGCUAAGGGUCCUUAGGUCAGUCACUAAGCCCUCACCAGGAGCAUUAAACUUGGUAGACUCUUAACACCUAGAGGAAGUUAGUUUUCUGUUUUUUUUUUUAAUUCUCAGGGUUGCUCAACAAAUUAUUUGCUAAGACAAGAUUAGAGUUUGAAGUAUUCAUUUAUUUGUGGCAAUUUUACCAGGACAUAGGAGGGUUAAACCUUUCUAGCAAAAGGACGGAAAUCAGAAUUAAGAGAGGAGAUCUAGUAACUGGUGAAUUAAAUAUGCUGAGAGUGUUAUAUACUUAAUCUACAGUUAGCAUGGCUGUCUUCCACCGUCUGGCUCCCUUUCUGUAACUUCUGGACUAUAGUUUAAAAUGAAGCUAUUUGGCCUUGCUCAGACCUCUGUACCUGGAAGGUGGAAAGCACUCAAGACCAGACUUCCAAAGUGAUUAUAUUUCAGGCAUAUAUUUGUAGAUAUGGUGUCUAUACAGUUACACUAAAACUUGCAAGGUGAAAAAGUAAGUAGCUACUGUUUGCCAUUUGCAGUUGGCUCUUCAUGUCUCUACGAUCCUUUAUUUUGUCAUCAUUUCUGUUACUGGGCAUUCAUAAAGAAAUUCGAGGGGCGCCUGGGUGGCUCAGUCAGUUAAGCUACGGACUCUUGAUUUCAGCUCAGGUCAUGAUCUCACGGUUCGUGGGUUCGAGCCCUGCAUCAGGUUGUGCGCUGACCGUAUGGAGCCUACUUGGAAUUCUCUCUCUUUCUGACCCUCCCGGCUCGCUUGCUCUCUCUCAAAAUAAACAAACGCUUAAAAAGAAAACAGUAGUUCUAUAGACAGUAGGAAUUACUUGGGCUAGAAAAACUUUUCAAUGUUUUCCUUGAAACUUCACAUUACUUUCUUUGAAUACUGAUUGUCUUCUUGAAGAAUACCUUAAUUUCCUGUUAGUACAUGCAUUUUGCAGAUUUAAUUUUUGUCAAAGUUGUACAUGAUUUACACAGUCACAUAGUUUGAUGGACUUAUAACACUAAAUAUUCCCUUUCUCCAUUUUUUUUUUUAUGGUGAUCUGUGAUCAGUGAUUAUGUCGUGCUGAAAGCUCAGAUGAUGCUUAGCAAUUUUUAGCAAUAAAGUAUUUUAUAAUUAAGAUAGGUGUGUUUUUUAGAUAUAAUGCUAUUGCACACUUGACAGACUGCAGUAUGGUGUAAACAUAACUUCUCUGUGCACUGGAAAACCAGAAAAUUCCUUUGACUCACUUUACUGUGACACUCACUUUAUUUCAGUAGUCUAGAACUGAAUAGCACUAUCUCAAGGUAACACCUGUAUUAGAGGUGAGAGGGGCUUUUGAGUUCACCCAGUUCAAACGCACCAGCUCCCUGGCAUCUGGAAACCCUGUAGAUGGGUCAGGAUCCUCCCCACUUCUUUGUCUGGAAUUUGACUCUUCUUGGCUAGAGUACACACCAGCAAUGUGGGUUUGGAAUCAGACGAUCUUUGAUGUCAAACCCCACUCCAUCCCUUAGCUGUGUAACCGUCAGCAGGUUCCUUAACCUUGUGAAGUCUCCUUUUCCUCAUCUACAACAUGGAGACCACAAAACCUACGUUACAGAGAGGUUGUAAGGAUUGGAACUAUAUGCAGGUAAAAACCUCAUAGUAGGCUCGGCACAGAGGAGGCCCUAAGAUAAUUGUGGCUGUUGUUUUUUCCAUCUUGGGACUUAACCUGUAUUUUAGCAUUUCAAAAAGAACCACAUUAAUUCAAAAUGCAGACUCUCUAUCACCGAAACAGAAACAUUAAUGUUCAAGGAAAUGGUUCUUUUUUCAUUUGAGGAGCAUGCACAGUAAUUUUAUUCAUUAAAUACACUUAGGUAGUAUUAAUUGAAGUA